rnacentral:rRNA from 1 species
AUGAUGGGAAUUUAAACCUCUUCCAGAGUAUCAAUUGGAGGGCAAGUCUGGUGCCAGCAGCCGCGGUAAUUCCAGCUCCAAUAGCGUAUAUUAAAAUUGUUGCAGUUAAAAAGCUCGUAGUUGAAUUUCUGCUGCAUUGCUUUUGCUCCUUUACGAGUCUUUGCAUUGUGGCUUAUUUCGGACUUUGUUUUACAAUGUCCGGAUGUUUACUUUGAGAAAAUUAGAGUGCUCAAAGCAGGCUUUCGCCUUGAAUAGUUUAGCAUGGAAUAAUAAAGUAGGACUUUGGUUCUAUUUUGUUGGUUUUAGGUACCAAAGUAAUGGUUAAUAGGAACAGUUGGGGGCAUUCGUAUUUAACUGUCAGAGGUGAAAUUCUUAGAUUUGUUAAAGACGAACUACUGCGAAAGCAUUUGCCAAGGAUGUUUUCAUUAAUCAAGAACGAAAGUUAGGGGAUCGAAG